rnacentral:rRNA from 1 species
UUUCUCGAGCGAGUGGCGAACGGGUGAGUAACGCGUGAGGAACCUGCCUCAAAGAGGGGGACAACAGUUGGAAACGACUGCUAAUACCGCAUAAGCCCACGACCCGGCAUCGGGUAGAGGGAAAAGGAGCAAUCCGCUUUGAGAUGGCCUCGCGUCCGAUUAGCUAGUUGGUGAGGUAACGGCCCACCAAGGCGACGAUCGGUAGCCGGACUGAGAGGUUGAACGGCCACAUUGGGACUGAGACACGGCCCAGACUCCUACGGGAGGCAGCAGUGGGGAAUAUUGCACAAUGGGGGAAACCCUGAUGCAGCGACGCCGCGUGGAGGAAGAAGGUCUUCGGAUUGUAAACUCCUGUUGUUGAGGAAGAUAAUGACGGUACUCAACAAGGAAGUGACGGCUAACUACGUGCCAGCAGCCGCGGUAAAACGUAGGUCACAAGCGUUGUCCGGAAUUACUGGGUGUAAAGGGAGCGCAGGCGGGAAGGCAAGUUGGAAGUGAAAUCCAUGGGCUCAACCCAUGAACUGCUUUCAAAACUGUUUUUCUUGAGUAGUGCAGAGGUAGGCGGAAUUCCCGGUGUAGCGGUGGAAUGCGUAGAUAUCGGGAGGAACACCAGUGGCGAAGGCGGCC